rnacentral:tRNA from 1 species
AGCAGGCGCCCCCGGUGUGAGGGGGUAAGUUUUGAGUACGUGCCACCUUCGGUCUAAACUAAGCAAGCGCGUUG